UUCCGUGUAGCUCAGCUGAUAGAGCAUGGCACUUGCAAAGCCAGGGCUGUGGGUUCAAUUCCCACUGGGGACC
rnacentral:tRNA from 1 species